rnacentral:sRNA from 10 species
AAGGGGUUCGUGUAGUGUGAAUCAUCAAUGCAAUGGACACUCGGUUUGACGCUAUAUCUCUCUACCUGCAGCAAUUUUGUUUGCUGUUUAUCAACCUGUUCAGACUCGUGUUGUCGCCAUCAUGGCUUCCAUUGCUUGGGGAAGAGUUCUAGUUGGGACGAAACAACAGAACACCAGCAAGCCAUAUCAGGACAUCCCUCACUCAGCCACUCCUCCCUCCCUCAACAGAAAACGUUUGACUAGGAUACCCCUAACUUUAACCACAGUGCUGGCUGGAGAAAAAAAGAAAGAGAGAGAAAAGGAGAAACGAAUGGGAAGCACAACCUAUAUCAGAAAGUUUGUGUGUGCAUGAAUUUUAUUUUAUUUAAUUUCAAUUCUUUUCCUCUUUUUUUUUAGUCAAUGGCUUUCUUUAAGUAGCAGAGAGGGUUAAAAAGACGCGUUUCUCAAAGGGGAUGAUGAUGAACAUGAUGAUGAUGAUCACUGUCACACCUGUGUGGCCUAUGGGGCCCCUGAAAUCCCUUAUGCUUUUUCUAAGUUAAUUUUAUGAUUUGAUAUAUGCAAACUUUAUGAAGUGUCUCCCUCUUCCGCCAUUGCUGGUUUCGUCACCCAGGGCGGUUGCUCCAUCCCGCUGAUCCUCAUGUGUUCCUUGGCCUUGGGUUUUUCGGUGUCCUCAAAGUGUGGUUUUUGGUUGCUCUAGACUUUUAAUUUUGCUCUCUUGAAGCUUAGGAAAUUAUGAUAGGUCCUUCAGUCAACGCUUGUUUUCAUGAUAGGUCUUGCCCUCUAUAUUGUGUAAAGGCAUGUGCGAUGCUUUGUGCUCAGAGCUUUUGUGAACUUUGUUGUUUCUUUUUUAUCAGCCACUAGUGCAUGUAAAUGGCAACUUUGAGACUUUUGUACAAGCUUUUCCCAGAUCGGUUGUGAUGUCAUGAAAGUCUUUGGUCUUUGAGACUUUUGCACAACUUUGAGACUUCACAUGGCAUUCUGAUUCUGAAA